UACACUCCUACGGGAGGCAGCAGUGGGGAAUAUUGCACAAUGGGCGCAAGCCUGAUGCAGCCAUGCCGCGUGUAUGAAGAAGGCCUUCGGGUUGUAAAGUACUUUCAGCGGGGAGGAAGGCGAUAAGGUUAAUAACCUUGUUGAUUGACGUUACCCGCAGAAGAAGCACCGGCUAACUCCGUGCCAGCAGCCGCGGUAAUACGGAGGGUGCAAGCGUUAAUCGGAAUUACUGGGCGUAAAGCGCACGCAGGCGGUCUGUCAAGUCGGAUGUGAAAUCCCCGGGCUCAACCUGGGAACUGCAUUCGAAACUGGCAGGCUAGAGUCUUGUAGAGGGGGGUAGAAUUCCAGGUGUAGCGGUGAAAUGCGUAGAGAUCUGGAGGAAUACCGGUGGCGAAGGCGGCCCCCUGGACAAAGACUGACGCUCAGGUGCGAAAGCGUGGGGAGCAAACAGGAUUAGAAACCCGUGUAGUCCCAUGAU
rnacentral:rRNA from 1 species